CCUACGGGUGGCAGCAGUGAGGAAUAUUGGUCAAUGGACGGAACCCUGAACCAGCCAAGCAGCGUGCAGGAAGAAGGUCCAACGGGUCGUAAACCUCUUUUGUCAGGGGACAAAGGCAGGGACUAGUCGCCUACUGAAGGUACCUGACGAAAAAGCAUCGGCUAACUCCGUGCCAGCAGCCGCGGUAAUACGGAGGAUGCGGGCGUUAUCCGGAUUUAUGGGGUUUAAAGGGUGCGCAGGCGGCCUGUUAAGUCAGCGGUAAAAUCCCGGGGCUCAACCUCGGCGAGCCGGGGAAACUGGCGGGCUGGAGUUGGACAGAAGUAGGCGGAAUGCGUGGUGUAGCGGUGAAAUGCUUAGAUAUCGCGAAGAACCCCGAUUGCGAAGGCAGCGUACCGUCGCCAUACUGACGCUGAGGCACGAAAGUGUGGGUAUCGAACAGGAUUAGAUACCCCAGUAGUC
rnacentral:rRNA from 1 species